GACGAACGCUGGCGGCGUGCUUAACACAUGCAAGUCGAACGAGAGCGUAGAGAAAGCUUGCUUUUUCUACAAUCUAGUGGCAAACGGGUGAGUAACGCGUAAACAACCUGCCCUACGGAUGGGGACAACAGCUGGAAACGGCUGCUAAUACCGAAUACGUUCCGAAAGUCGCAUGACUAUCGGAAGAAAGGAUGGCCUCUAUUUAUAAGCUAUCGCCGGAGGAGGGGUUUGCGUCUGAUUAGCUAGUUGGAGGGGUAACGGCCCACCAAGGCGACGAUCAGUAGCCGGUCUGAGAGGAUGAACGGCCACAUUGGAACUGAGACACGGUCCAGACUCCUACGGGAGGCAGCAGGGGGGAAUCUUCCGCAAUGGGCGAAAGCCUGACGGAGCAACGCCGCGGGAGUGAAGACGGCCUUCGGGUUGUAAAGCUCGGUUAUACGGGACGAAUAAUCUUGUGGUUAAUACCCAUGAGAAGUGACGGUACCGUAAGAGAAAGCCACGGCUAACUACGUG
rnacentral:rRNA from 1 species